rnacentral:snRNA from 1 species
AUCCCUCCGGGGACAUUUGAUAAAAUUAGAAAGAUACAGAGAAGAUUAGUAGGAGUCCAGCACAAAUAUAACUCACAUUGAUCGAGAAAAGAUCUUAAAAGGCACACACUUCUUUU